AAAAAAAAAGGAAGGACCUUCAUGAGUACCAAAUAUUCACUUGGGCUCAGAUGCAAAACUCAGCUCUUUCUCCACAAGCACCCCCCUCCUUUGGGGGGAAGCUGUGUUCCCUGACACUGUGGGAUGAGCUCCUCCCUCUGCCGGCAGUAUUUCCUCUCUGGGGGACCUCUGGGGAGGUGGCCUUGCAGUUGGGCACACCUGGCUUGAAUCCCAGCGGCACCACCUUCAAGCUUCCUGGCUUUGCCACACCUCUCUGAGCCUCGGUUUUCUCAUCUGUGCCACGGAAUUCAGAGAGGCCCCAGUCUCACUCGGCUGAGGCUCAGGGCCAGUUGCCUUUUCCUGGCCCCACAGAUGUAUGGUCAGUUUGGGGGUAUGCCCCCAUCCCUGCUCUGGGCUUUGCCUAAGACAGGCUGUGGGCAGCCCUCAGAGGCGCCAGCUUGGCCACACCUGGCUGGAAUCAGCGGGUGGGUGGGAGCACACAGCAGGGACCCAGUGCCUUCUAGAACACAGCUAGCAGUUCCCGUGAAAAUCAAAACACCCCAUUUUACAGGUAAGGAGGCUCUGGGAGGAGUGGCUUGCCACACCAUGCAGAUAUAAAGAGGGAUAUUCACCAAGAAAAACAUACCAAUAACACCAAGGGCCCUCCUACACAUUGUUCUACCACUAUUUAUUGAGCACUUACUACAUGCCAGGCAAUGAGCCAAGUGCUUUACAAGGCUGACCUAUUUCAAUCCAACAACAUACCGAAGAGGGAGGCAUAUUGAUCCUCCUUUUACAGGAAACAGUGAGGUUGAUGCAUUUGUCCAAGAUCACACAGCUCUUGGGGAGUGGAGCCUGACUUUGAAUUUAGGCAGCCUGCCCCCAGAGCUUGUGUUCUUGGCCAUCCUUCGCACCUGGCUUAGAGACCCAGGCUCUGCAUAGAGGGGCGCAGUGAUCUUGGGUCAGUCCCUUAAGCCCCAGAGUAGCAAAAGGGAAAGGAAAUAUCUUCAGCACCCAGUGAGGGGGAGCUCAGAGAGGGGACCCCUUUUACUCCAGGGCACACAGCCGGCUGAGCCAGGACCCACCACACUCAACUCCCCGGCCCCUGGCUCCCAGGAGGUGGCUCCUCCAUGGCCGGGAAGGACCCCCACGGCUGCUCCCGCAGGCAGAUGGACAGACGAUGGCCCCCUCCCACGGCCUGCGGGCUGUGUGGCAUCGCCACCUCCUCCCGAGCAGGCUGCCUUUAAGAAACCAGAAGAUUGAUUUCCUGGCAGGCUCUACGCCGAGGAGCCCGUCCAAAUGGUUUGCAUGUCUGCAUUUUUUACUGCUCCGUUUAAUAUGUAUGCAAAUGCCGGCCGGCUGCGCCCGCCGCGCGGCUGCACAGUCACACGCGGCGCCCCAUUAAAGCGGCCGUCCCGGGCGCGCGCCUCAUUCGAGGCGACGGGCUCCGGGCCCUGAUAGAUGGGGUGCGGGGACGGAGACAAAUGACGGCCUUUGGGCUCGGAAUACCCACCUUUCUGGUAAUGCAGCCCAGCGGGUCCCAGCCUCGUUUUCCAGCCCUCACUCAAAAUGGAGUCGCUCUGGUUCGAACGCCUCUGACAAGUGUGUACCUACGUGUCAGGGUGAGUAUGGGGCUGUAUGUACACACGUGUCACUGUGUACACGUGUCAGUGCGCAUGUGUGAAUGUGUGUCGUCCUUGGCUGGCAGGCAGCUGGAGUGUGAAUUUCCCUGAGGGUUUCCACUUCCCUGUGGUUCAGGCUGGGGCCCUCUGCGCUCUCCCCUGGCCCCAGAGCUGCUCCACUAGGCAGGGAAAGCCUCUGGAAUGAGGGAACAGGAUAUGGCUCCAUGAGGCCCCCACAAGCCAGAGGCACCCCUGAGCUUUGCAUAGAUGGGAAGGACUUGGAUUGCUGGGGCCGGGCUGGAGCCUGGGAAUCCUGAGCCGGAAGUGAGGGGUGCAUACAGCUGUCUAGAGAAGCCCUCUGCGUGUGCGUGUGUGUGCCCCUCCAGAUCUGUGCAUGUUGAGUCACUCGGGGAAGUGGCUCUCCUCAUGUAAAAUGUCUUCAGGAUGAAGGCAGGUCCUUCUGGUGUCUGGACUUGAGCUUCUCUGGGGGCAGAACCUGGGCUCUGGGGGCUGCUAUUUGGGAAUCACCCUCCUUGCUGCCCCCUGGGCCAGUGCCCUGAGGACACUGGAGGGGUCCUUGAGCCCUAGUGGGGGGUAGGGUGUGUGUGUGUGUGUGUGUGAGAGAGAGCCAGAGAGAGUGUGAGCAGGGGUGUAUGUAAAUGUGUGUGAGGAUGUGUAUAUGUGCAUUAGUGUGUGUGAGUUGUGUAUGUGUGAGGUUGUGUUGGGGGUGAGGGUGUGGGCGUGUGAGUUGGUGUGUGAGUUGGUGUGUGUGAGUUGUGAGGUUGCGUUGGGAGUAAGGGUGUGUGCGUGUGAGUUGGUGUGUGAGUUGUGUAUGUGUGAGGUUGUGUUGGGUGGGGGCGAGGGUGUGUGGAUGGGUCUGUGAGUUGUGUAUGAGGGAGGAUGUGUGCAUGGGAGUUGGUGUGUGUGAGUGAGGGUGUGUGAGGGUGUGUGUGAAAGUGUGUGGGUGUGAGUUGGUGUGUGUGUUGUAUAUGUGUGAGGUUGUGUUGGGGUGAGGGUGUGUGUGUGAGUUGGUGUGUGUUGUGUAUGUGUAAGGGUGUGUGUGAGUUGGUGUGUAUUUGUUUGUGUUGGUGUGCAUGCGAGUUGGUGUGUGAGUUGGCGUGUUAGUGUGAGUUGUGUAUGUGUGAGUUGGUGUGUGUGUUGGUGUGAGUGACUUGUGUAUGUGUGAGUUGGUAUGCGUGUGAGUUGGUGUGUGUGAGUCGAUGUGUAAGUUGGUGUGUAUGCGAGUUGAUGUGAGUUGUGUAUGUGUGAGUUGGUGUGUAUGAGUUGGUGUGUGAGUUGUGUAUGUGUGAGUUGGUAUGAGUUGGUGUGUGAGUUGUAUAUGUGUGAAUUGGUGUGUAUGAGUUGGUGUGUGAGUUGUGUAUGUGUGAGUUGGUAUGAGUUGGUGUGUGAGUUGUGUAUGUGUGAGUUGGUGUGUAUGAGUUGGUGUGUAUGUGAGUUGGUGUGUAAGUGACUUGUGUAUGUGUGUGUAUUGGUGUACAUGUGAGUUGAGUUGGUGUGAGUUGUCAUGUGAGUUGGUGUGAAUUAUGUAUGUGUGAGUUGGUGUGUGAGUUGUGUAUGUGUGAGUUGGUGUGCAUGCGAGUUGGUGUGUGUGUGAGUUCGUGUGUGAGUUGGCAUGUGAGUUGGCACAUAUGUGAGUUGGUGUGUGAGUUGUGUAUGUGUGAGCGCAUAUGUGAGUUGGUGUGUGAGUUGGCAUGUGAGUUGGUGUGAGUUAUGUAUGUGUGAGUUGGUGUGCGAGUUGUGUAUGUGUGAGUUGGUGUGCGUGUGAGUUGGUGUGUGUGUGAGUUCGUGUGUGAGUUGGCAUGUGAGUUGGUGUGAGUUAUGUAUGUGUGAGUUGGUGUGCGAGUUGUGUAUGUGUGAGUUGGUGUGCAUGUGAGUUGGUGUGUGUGUGAGUUCGUGUGUGAGUUGGCAUGUGAGUUGGUGUGAGUUAUGUAUGUGUGAGUUGGUGUGUGAGUUGUGUAUAUGUGAGUUGGUGUGUGUGUGAGUCCGUGUGUGAGUUGGCAUGUGAGUUGGCACAUAUGUGAGUUGGUGUGUGAGUUGUGUAUGUGUGAGCGCAUAUGUGAGUUGGUGUGUGAGUUGUGUAUGUGUGUGUUGAUGUGUAUGUGAGUUGGUGUGCGUGUGAGUUGUGUGCGUGUGAGUUGGUGUGUGAGUUGUGUAUGUGUGAAUUGGUGUGUGUGUGUGUGAGGGAGGGUGUGUUUGUGGACAGAUGUGUGUGCGCCUGGAUGUGCCGGACCGGUUGGGGGGGCGGAUGGACCGAGGCUCCGCGACAGGCAUUUCCGAGCUCCCCUGGCAGAUCUGGCUUAGGAGGAGCUGCAGGGACCAGCGCUGAGGGCCCUUCUGGCUGCCCUGGUCCAGGCCUUGGUGUCUUCCUGGUCUCAUCUCUCUCUAGUCUCUGCAGUCGCCUGGGCUCUCCAGUCCCACAGGGGGCUCUCCCUUGGAAACCCGUGGGGAAUGUCACCCGUGGGGAAUGUCUCUGCCCACCCAAGCCUCCCCGGGGAACGGCAGAUAGGAUGGCCCCUCAGGCCGGCACCUCCCAGAACUCACGUCCCCACAGUGGCCCUGGGGUCCCCUCUGGCCUCACGCCCGCUCCUCUUCCUCUCUUUCAAGAUUUGCCAGGUGCUGGGCCCCAGAAGCCAGCCCUCCUGACGUGUGGCGGCCGUCCUCACUGCUCCCUCCUUCCCUGCAGCAUUCCCCAGCCCCCGGCCCACCCUCCUCCCACCCGCUUCCUGACCCAGGCUCCCGGGCCUUCCCCUCGCGGCCACCUAGCUGUGUGCUUUGUUUGGCUGCUGUCACCCCCAGGAAGGUGAUCCCCGUGAGAACCCAAAUAGCAGGUGCUCGUCUGGGACCCCCGCCUCCAGCCCCAGGGGAGGUUUCCUGGUCCUCACUGUGGCCAGGGCAUGGCUCCUUCACCCCGGGGCUCACCCUCGGUGUCCGUGAAGUCCAGCCGACGGUGACCCUAAGUCCUCCCUCCACUCGCCUAUGUUUGGGGAUAGCCUGUCCUUCCUGCAGGCCUUUGUCUUGGUGUCACCCUGAGCUGGCCCCAACCACAGUAGCGACAGUGAUGCUGAUGUGUGACUGCUGCCUGGAGCCUGCUCACAUGACCGUGUGGAGAAAGGUCUUUCCCUGAGGACCAUCUGGAGUGGACGCAUGCACUACUCCUCUCUGAAUACACCCUCCCCACGAGGCCCUCUGGAGCAUCCUGUAGAGCCAGCCCCUACCCAGAGACCCUGAGCCCAGAGAAUGCGCUGGGUGGUGAGCCUGGGGACGAAUGCAGAGCCCUAGGUCUCCUCUCCAGAACGUAGCAUCGUGGUAAGAACACCCGCCCUGACAUCACACAGACCUGCAUCCACGUCCCAGCUGAGCCUCAGUUCUCACAUCUGCAAAAUGGGGAGAACAACAGCAGCAGCGUCCUGAGGCUGGGGUGAGGACCGAGUGAAAAACCUUUGUCGCAUCUUUGGGCACCGUAGGAGUUCAAUAAAUGUUAGCUAUUGUUGUCACUUUGUAUUAUCC